AUGCCUGACAACAGUAUCAUUUUAAUAUAUCCUGAUGUUCUCUUAUGGGUUACUUUCAUGUAAAAAUGGCCCAAAUUAAAUGUUGAGAUAGGCUGGCUUCCUGGCUUACCCAAAGUGAGAGGUGAGGUGAGCUAAAGCCUUCUGAACUGAGCACAUUUCAGUUGCAUUGUAUAAGCAAUAUUUUUGCUCAUUUUUUUCCCCGUUGCAGAACUUUAUUCCACACACUCAGAUUUUUCUCCAUGCCAUUUUCCAUCAUUUUUUCAUACCUCUCUCUCUUCCAUUUUUAUUUUCUCCUUCUUUCCUCCAAUAAAAAGGGCUGCUUGACUCACACCUCCAUCAACAGACGCUUGGAAAUAAUGCACCAUGGCAGGUUUUCAAAUAUUUUUUCUUUCCUCCCUCCAGAGAGAAAAACAAAAGGGUAAAGAUGGCUUGAGGGAUUGGAUCAGAACAUUGUUUUACUGGAAUUUGCAGCUGUUUCUGGAUUGCAGAAGUCACUGGAGGGAAACAAUGUGCUCAGGGACUGAAGGAAAUGGUUUGGCUCCAAUCUGUCCCGAGUCAUCUGGGGAGGAAUGUUUUCAUUGUUGCAAAGGUUGCUACUCCACACAGAUUUUGCUUCUCUCUACAGAGAGUGUGUGUCUGAGGAGAGGCAUGGGAAAUUCACAUAGCAUGGGAACAAAACAAGGCCAAGGGUGCUCCUCCUGGCAUGCAUCCUGUCAUGGAGGGAGCCUGUAGAAUACCUGCAGUUAGGCAGAAAUCAGGAUGAUCGAGUUAACAUGCAUCAUUAGGGCAGGCUCUAACACAGUGUGACUGAUGUCCUUAUAAAAAGAGGAAAUUUAGACAGAGACAUACAGGCAUUGAGAGAGUACAAUGGGAAGACACAAAGAAAAGAUGGCCGUUUACAAGCCGAGGAAUACCUGAGGCUACAGAAGGAAGGAGAGAGACGAGGAACAGAGUCUGCCUCACAGUCCUCAGAAGAGACCAACCGUACCAACACUUUGAUUUCAGACUUCCAGCCUCCAGAACUGUGAAGCACAAUACAUUUCUGUUGUUUAAGCCACCAGUUUGUGGUGCUGUGUUUUGGCAGUCUCAGGAAACAAAUACAGUUAAGUUUGAUA